GAUGCAGUCGAGCGAAUGGAUUAAGAGCUUGCUCUUAUGAAGUUAGCGGCGGACGGGUGAGUAACACGUGGGUAACCUGCCCAUAAGACUGGGAUAACUCCGGGAAACCGGGGCUAAUACCGGAUAACAUUUUGAACCGCAUGGUUCGAAAUUGAAAGGCGGCUUCGGCUGUCACUUAUGGAUGGACCCGCGUCGCAUUAGCUAGUUGGUGAGGUAACGGCUCACCAAGGCAACGAUGCGUAGCCGACCUGAGAGGGUGAUCGGCCACACUGGGACUGAGACACGGCCCAGACUCCUACGGGAGGCAGCAGUAGGGAAUCUUCCGCAAUGGACGAAAGUCUGACGGAGCAACGCCGCGUGAGUGAUGAAGGCUUUCGGGUCGUAAAACUCUGUUGUUAGGGAAGAACAAGUGCUAGUUGAAUAAGCUGGCACCUUGACGGUACCUAACCAGAAAGCCACGGCUAACUACGUGCCAGCAGCCGCGGUAAUACGUAGGUGGC
rnacentral:rRNA from 1 species